rnacentral:rRNA from 1 species
ACGGGAGGCAGCAGUGGGGGAUAUUGCACAAUGGAGGAAAGCCUGAUGCAGCAACGCCGCGUGAGGGAAGAAGGUCUUCGGAUUGUAAACCUCUGUUUUUGGUGAAGAAACAAAUGACGGUAGCUAAAGAGGAAGCCACGGCUAACUACGUGCCAGCAGCCGCGGUAAUACGUAGGGGGCAAGCGUUGUCCGGAUUUACUGGGUGUAAAGGGUGCGCAGGCGGGACUGCAAGUUGGAUGUGAAAUACCGGGGCUCAACCCCGGAACUGCAUCCAAAACUGUAGUUCUUGAGUGGAGUAGAGGUAAGCGGAAUUCCGAGUGUAGCGGUGAAAUGCGUAGAUAUUCGGAGGAACACCAGUGGCGAAGGCGGCUUACUGGGCUCUAACUGACGCUGAGGCACGAAAGCAUGGGUAGCAAACAGGAUUAGAUACCCUGGUA